rnacentral:rRNA from 1 species
UACGUACUGUGCAAACGUUAUUCGGAAUCACUGGGCUUAAAGAGUCCGUAGGCGGCCUGUUAGGUGAGGUGUGAAAUCCCCCGGCUCAACCGAGGAAUUGCGCUUCAAACCGGCGUGCUAGAGGAAGAUAGAGGUGGGCGGAACUGAUGGUGGAGCGGUGAAAUGCGUAGAGAUGUGGAGGAACACCAGUGGCGAAGGCGACUCUUUGGCCUGUAACUGACGCUGAGGCGCGAAAGCGUGGGGAGCAAACAGG